UUCAGGAGCUCAUCCCACCCGCAACAAGCUGCCUUCAGAACUCUCUCACCAGAUUGAAUAGCCUUUCACAUAUUGCAGGCUGCUUCCCAAGCUAAACUAGUCAAGAUGAUGAUCAAAGUAGCUCUUGUGCUCUGUGCUAUUGUGGCAACCAGUAUGGUGUGCGCCAAGGAUGUUGAAGAGCAAGAUGCAGUGGACACCUUGCUGAAUCUGAUGCUCUCGGAGGAGGCUGCAUCUCCUGAUGACGCCGUAGCCUUGCAGCGCCAUCACCGUCAUCACCAUCAUGGCCAUCAUGGAAGGGACCAUGAGGCAACAUCCGAAUGUUGAUUCUUCCUGAAGAAAAAAUGAAAUAAAA